CAGAGGGUGCGAGCGUUAAUCGGAAUUACUGGGCGUAAAGCGAGUGUAGGUGGCUCAUUAAGUCACAUGUGAAAUCCCCGGGCGUUAACCUGGGAACUGCAUGUGAUACUGGUGGUGCUAGAAUAUGUGAGAGGGAAGUAGAAUUCCAGGUGUAGCGGUGAAAUAGCGUAGAGAUCUGGAGGAAUACCGAUGGCGAAGGCAGCUUCCUGGCAUAAUAUUGACACUGAGAUUCGAAAGCGUGGGUAGCAAACAGGAUU
rnacentral:rRNA from 1 species